rnacentral:rRNA from 1 species
ACUGCUCAGUAACACGUGGACAACCUGCCCUUAGGUUGGGUAUAAACCCGGGAAACUGGGUAUAAUACCCGAUAGGUCUCGAUUGCUGGAAUGCAUCGAGAUUUAAAGCUCCGGCGCCUAAGGAUGGGUCUGCGGCCUAUCAGGUAGUAGUGGGUGUAGCGUACCUACUAGCCUACGACGGGUACGGGUUGUGAGAGCAAGAGCCCGGAGAUGGAUUCUGAGACACGAAUCCAGGCCCUACGGGGUGCAGCAGGCGCGAAAACUUUACAAUGCUGGCAACAGCGAUAAGGGAACCUCGAGUGCCAGGUUACAAAUCUGGCUGUCGAGAUGCCUAAAAAGCGUUUCAUAGCAAGGGCCGGGCAAGACCGGUGCCAGCCGCCGCGGUAACACCGGCGGCUCGAGUGGUAACCGUUAUUAUUGGGUCUAAAGGGUCUGUAGCCGGCCGGAUAAGUCUCUUGAGAAAUCUGGCAGCUUAACUGUCAGGCUUUCAGGAGAUACUGUCUGGCUCGAGGCCGGGAGAGGUGAGAGGUACUUCAGGGGUAGGGGUGAAAUCUUGUAAUCCUUGAAGGACCACCAGUGGCGAAGGCGUCUCACCAGAACGGACCUGACGGCAAGGGACGAAAGCUAGGGGCACGAACCGGAUUAGAUACCCGGGUAGUCCUAGCCGUAAACGAUACUCGCUAGGUGUCGGCCACGGUGCGACCGUUGUCGGUGCCGUAGGGAAGCCGUGAAGCGAGCCACCUGGGAAGUACGGCCGCAAGGCUGAAACUUAAAGGAAUUGGCGGGGGAGCAC